GUGAAUCAUCGAAUUUUUGAACGCAAAUUGCACUCUCUGGUAUUCCGGGGAGUAUGCCUGUUUGAGGGUCGGUAGAAUAAAAAAUCGAGGCUUCUCUUUUUAUAUAAGGGUUAUGGAGUCGGAAAAGAGCAGUAUUACAAUUGUUUAUACAGGUGAAGGUGGGUUUGAAUUGAUGCAGCAGGUACGAAUUCAAC
rnacentral:misc_RNA from 1 species